AAUAAAGUGCCUGAAUAAAGGAUUAUUCUGAUAGAAUAAAUUAUGUAAAUUUUUUUACCUUUAUUA
rnacentral:tRNA from 1 species